UACGGUAGGGUGUAAGCGUUAUCCGGAUUCACUGGGUUUAAAGGGUGCGUAGGCGGGCAGGUAAGUCAGUGGUGAAAUCCUGGAGCUCAACUCCAGAACUGCCAUUGAUACUAUCUGUCUUGAAUAUUGUGGAGGUAAGCGGAAUAUGUCAUGUAGCGGUGAAAUGCUUAGAUAUGACAUAGAACACCCAUUGCGAAGGCAGCUUACUACGCAUAUAUUGACGCUGAGGCACGAAAGCGUGGGGAUCAAACAGG
rnacentral:rRNA from 1 species